UGGGGAAUAUUGCACAAUGGGCGCAAGCCUGAUGCAGCCAUGCCGCGUGUAUGAAGAAGGCCUUCGGGUUGUAAAGUACUUUCAGCGGGGAGGAAGGUGUUGAGGUUAAUAACCUCAGCAAUUGACGUUACCCGCAGAAGAAGCACCGGCUAACUCCGUGCCAGCAGCCGCGGUAAUACAGAGGGUGCAAGCGUUAAUCGGAAUUACUGGGCGUAAAGCGCACGCAGGCGGUCUGUCAAGUCGGAUGUGAAAUCCCCGGGCUCAACCUGGGAACUGCAUUCGAAACUGGCAGGCUAGAGUCUUGUAGAGGGGGGUAGAAUUCCAGGUGUAGCGGUGAAAUGCGUAGAGAUCUGGAGGAAUACCGGUGGCGAAGGCGGCCCCCUGGACAAAGACUGACGCUCAGGUGCGAAAGCGUGGGGAGCAAACA
rnacentral:rRNA from 1 species